UACGGAGGGUGCAAGCGUUGUUCGGAAUUAUUGGGCGUAAAGGGCGUGUAGGCGGUUUUUUAAGUCUGAUGUGAAAGCCCCGGGCUCAACCUGGGAAGUGCAUUGGAAACUGGAAGACUUGAGUACGGGAGAGGGCAGUGGAAUUCCUGGUGUAGGAGUGAAAUCCGUAGAUAUCAGGAGGAACACCGGUGGCGAAGGCGGCUGCCUGGACCGAUACUGACGCUGAGACGCGAAAGCGUGGGGAGCAAACAGG
rnacentral:rRNA from 3 species